GGAUGGUAUUCUAGCAGUAUUUAGUGCUUUCUGGGGCCGUAGUUGAUUGUUGGUAAUGUUCAAUGAAAAAAAUUUGAUAAUAGACUAGUACUGUGAGGGAAUAGUAAAUAUGUAUAGUGAUAAGUAGUGGUAAAAACAUGUACCUUUUGCAUCAUGGCCUGGUAAGAUAGAAGAAUCAUAUAGAUAUUUCUCGAAGCCUUACGAGCGUCCUUUUUGUUACAUUUUAGGGUAAAAUCUUGCUAAUGUUGCACCAUUAGGGGAAAAUGAAAAGGAAGUGUUGAAAUUGCAUUCGUGUAGGGGGAUAGCUAGUUUCUUCAUAAAUACAUGUUAGUGUAUCGGCUAUAUUUAUAACCGUGCCUUUAGUACUAUACCAAUAUGGUUAGGGGCUAGGUCAUUAUGUUUCCGUCAGACAUUAGAGAAUAAGCUCUGAUGUUAGCAGGUUUUGUUACAAACAAUUAUUUAAGAGUGGGGGGGCCUAAUAGUUGCUAACUUAUAGUCCGUUUGUUAUAAAAGACUCUUAUUGGGUAGAAAUUGAAAGAUAUCUUUAAGCAUCUAUUUAUUAAUGAAGGUACAGACAAAAACGGCAAGGUCUGGAAAUAAUGCUAGGAUGAGUAUUGUACGUCGGUGUGUGUCUAUAAACCCAAACUGCGAGUAGGUGUUUAAUCACAAUAAAUAAUAGGAUAAAAACUUUAGGAAAGGAAUUCGGCAAACUAUACCUCCGCCUGUAUAUCAAAAACAUGGCUCUUUGUCAUAACUAUAAAGAGUCUAACCUGCUCAAUGAUUUUAAUUAAAUGGCCGCGGUACCCUGACCGUGCAAAGGUAGCAUAAUCACUUGCCUUUUAAUUGGAGGCUGGAAUGAAUGGUUGGACGGGAGGUUGGCUGUCUCUUCUAAAGUACGAGAAUUCAAUCUAUAGGUUCAAAAGCCUAUAUUAUAUUAAAAGACGAGAAGACCCUAGCGAGCUUUAUUCUAUUUGUGGAAUCAUUUUUCCAUGGAAGAAUUUGGUUGGGGCGACUGAGGAAAAAAGCAUCCUUGAAUUAAAAUUAAAUUAUGGUUACAGAUCCAACUAAUGUUGAGUGACAGCCAAGCUACCGUAGGGAUAACAGCGUAAUCUUUUUUGAGAGUUCUAAUCGAAAAAAGGGUUUGCGACCUCGAUGUUGGACUAGGGUAUCCUGAGGGUGAAGAAGCUUUUGAGGGUUGGUCUGUUCGACCACUAAAAUCCU
rnacentral:rRNA from 1 species